UACGAAGGGGGCUAGCGUUGCUCGGAAUCACUGGGCGUAAAGGGUGCGUAGGCGGGUCUUUAAGUCCGGGGUGAAAUCCUGGAGCUCAACUCCAGAACUGCCUUCGAUACUGGAAGACUCGAGUCCGGGAGAGGUGAGUGGAACUGCGAGUGUAGAGGUGAAAUUCGUAGAUAUUCGCAAGAACACCAGUGGCGAAGGCGGCUCACUGGCCCGGUACUGACGCUGAGGUGCGAAAGCGUGGGGAGCAAACAGG
rnacentral:rRNA from 1 species